rnacentral:lncRNA from 1 species
AUACUUGGAAAAUUCCCAAACGAAAGACAAGGCAGCGUUCAGGCAAGCAGCAGCAGACUUUGUCGGAAAGAAUCACUUUUACUGUUCCAGCAGGGUUUUUGUUGAGAAUGACUCGGCUAGAAAUGGUCAAGCCUACGGCAUGGUAUUCGCACAUCGAUCUCGCAAGUCGACACUCCCGAAAUGGACUGAAGUGGUGCACAUGACUGAGAUUCCAUACUUCUUCGGAAUACCCUUCUUGGACUCUGUUAACUACGAUGAAGAAGACCGACAGGUUAGCGCAGAGGCCAUGAGGAUGCUGACUUCAUUUGCUCGAGAUGGUAAACCAAGUGCACCCAACGGCACCCAGUGGACGCCAUUUUCUGCCGAAGAGCCCUACUUCAUGUGGCUGGAGCCGGGGAACUACGGGAUGA